GAUGAACGCUGGCGGCGUGCUUAACACAUGCAAGUCGAACGGGAAACAUUUUAUUGAAGCUUCGGCAGAUUUAGUUUGUUUCUAGUGGCGGACGGGUGAGUAACGCGUGGGUAACCUGCCUCACACUGGGGGAUAACAGUCAGAAAUGACUGCUAAUACCGCAUAAGCGCACGGAACCGCAUGGUUUUGUGUGAAAAACUCCGGUGGUGUGAGAUGGACCCGCGUUGGAUUAGCCAGUUGGCAGGGUAACGGCCUACCAAAGCGACGAUCCAUAGCCGGCCUGAGAGGGUGAACGGCCACAUUGGGACUGAGACACGGCCCAGACUCCUACGGGA
rnacentral:rRNA from 1 species